UACAGAGGGUGCAAGCGUUAAUCGGAAUUACUGGGCGUAAAGGGCGCGUAGGUGGUUUGUUAAGUGAGAUGUGAAAUCCCUGGGCUUAACCUGGGAAUGGCAUCUUAUACUGGUGAACUGGAGUACGGUAGAGGGUAGUGGAAUUCCGGUGUAGCGGUGAAAUGCGUAGAUAUCGGAAGGAACACCGGUGGCGAAGGCGGCUACCUGGACUGAUACUGACACUGAGGCGCGAGAGCGUGGGGAGCAAACAGG
rnacentral:rRNA from 1 species